rnacentral:rRNA from 1 species
AGAGUUUGAUCCUGGCUCAGGACGAACGCUGGCGGCGUGCCUAAUACAUGCAAGUCGAGCGGUCCCUUCGGGGAUAGCGGCGGACGGGUGAGUAACACGUAGGCAACCUGCCUGCAAGAUCGGGAUAACUACCGGAAACGGUAGCUAAGACCGGAUAACUGGUGUCUCCGCAUGGAGAGAUCAUGAAACACGGGGCAACCUGUGGCUUGCAGAUGGGCCUGCGGCGCAUUAGCUAGUUGGUGAGGUAACGGCUCACCAAGGCGACGAUGCGUAGCCGACCUGAGAGGGUGAACGGCCACACUGGGACUGAGACACGGCCCAGACUCCUACGGGAGGCAGCAGUAGGGAAUCUUCCGCAAUGGACGCAAGUCUGACGGAGCAACGCCGCGUGAGUGAUGAAGGUUUUCGGAUCGUAAAGCUCUGUUGCCCUAGACGAACGACAAGGAGAGUAACUGCUCCUUGUGUGACGGUAUAGGAGAAGAAAGCCCCGGCUAACUACGUGCCAGCAGCCGCGGUAAUACGUAGGGGGCAAGCGUUGUCCGGAAUUAUUGGGCGUAAAGCGCGCGCAGGCGGCUGUUUAAGUCUGGUGUUUAAGCCCGGGGCUCAACCCCGGUACGCAUCGGAAACUGGAUAGCUUGAGUGUAGGAGAGGAAAGUGGAAUUCCACGUGUAGCGGUGAAAUGCGUAGAGAUGUGGAGGAACACCAGUGGCGAAAGGCGACUUUCUGGCCCUAUAACUGACGCUGAGGCGCGAAAGCGUGGGGAGCAACAGGGAUUAAGAUACCCCUGCUAGGUCCACGCGUAUACCGAUUGGAAGUUGGCUACGGGUGGAUUAAAGGGGGU